rnacentral:rRNA from 1 species
UACGUAGGGUGCAAGCGUUAAUCGGAAUUACUGGGCGUAAAGCGUGCGCAGGCGGCUUUGCAAGACAGAUGUGAAAUCCCCGGGCUUAACCUGGGAACUGCAUUUGUGACUGCAUGGCUGGAGUGCGGCAGAGGGGAUGGAAUUCCGGCGUGUAGCAGUGAAAUGCGUAGAUAUCGUAAGGAAGACCAGUGGCGAAGGCGAGUCUCUGGACAGUUACUGACGCUGAGGCACGAAGGCCAGGGGAGCAAACGGG